rnacentral:rRNA from 1 species
UACGGAGGGGGCUAGCGUUGUUCGGAAUUACUGGGCGUAAAGAGCUCGUAGGUGGUUUGUCGCGUUGUUCGUGAAAACUCACAGCUCAACUGUGGGCGUGCGGGCGAUACGGGCAGACUAGAGUACUGCAGGGGAGACUGGAAUUCCUGGUGUAGCGGUGGAAUGCGCAGAUGUGGAGGAACACCAGUGGCGAAGGCGACUCUCUGGUUCGAUACUGACACUGAGGCACGGAAAAGCGUGGGGAGCAAACAGG